UAAAGAUCCGUCGGAUGAGGAUAGGCUCGCGUGACACUAGCUUGACGGCGGGGUAACGGCCCACCGUGGCGACGAUGUCUAGGGGUUCUGAGAGGAAGGUCCCCCACACUGGAACUGAGACACGGUCCAGACUCCUACGGGAGGCAGCAGUGAGGAAUAUUGGUCAAUGGCCGGAAGGCUGAACCAGCCAUGCCGCGUGAAGGUCAGUGCCCUAUGGGCGUUAAACUUCUUUUGUGCGGGAGCAAUAAGGUCCACGUGUGGACCGACGAGAGCACCGUACGAAUAAGCAUCGGCUAACUCCGUGCCAGCAGCCGCGGUAAUACGGGGGAUGCAAGCGUUAUCCGGAUUUAUUGGGUUUAAAGGGUGCGUAGGCUGUGAGGUAAGUCAGCGGUGAAAUGCCCCCGCUCAACGGGGUGAAGUGCCAUUGAUACUGCCUUGCUGGAAUGCGGAUGCCGUGGGAGGAAUGUGUGGUGUAGCGGUGAAAUGCAUAGAUAUCACACAGAACACCGAUUGCGAAGGCAUCUCACGAAUCCGCUAUUGACGCUGAUGCGCGAAAGCGUGGGUAUCAAACAGGAUUAGAUACCCUGGUAGUCCACGCUGUAAACGAUGAUGACUAACCGUCGGCGAUACACAGUCG
rnacentral:rRNA from 1 species